rnacentral:rRNA from 1 species
UGGGGAAUAUUGGACAAUGGGCGAAAGCCUGAUCCAGCCAUGCCGCGUGUGUGAAGAAGGUCUUCGGAUUGUAAAGCACUUUAAGUUGGGAGGAAGGGCAUUAACCUAAUACGUUAGUGUUUUGACGUUACCGACAGAAUAAGCACCGGCUAACUCUGUGCCAGCAGCCGCGGUAAUACAGAGGGUGCAAGCGUUAAUCGGAAUUACUGGGGGUAAAGCGCGCGUAGGUGGUUUGUUAAGUUGGAUGUGAAAUCCCCGGGCUCAACCUGGGAACUGCAUUCAAAACUGACUGACUAGAGUAUGGUAGAGGGUGGUGGAAUUUCCUGUGUAGCGGUGAAAUGCGUAGAUAUAGGAAGGAACACCAGUGGCGAAGGCGACCACCUGGACUAAUACUGACACUGAGGUGCGAAAGCGUGGGGAGCAAACA